rnacentral:misc_RNA from 1 species
CAUUUGUGCCAUCAUGUUUUGCAUCAUUUAUUGCAUACACUCCUCUAGCAUCUACUCGCAUUGGCGGUAUCUCUCCUCCAGCAUCAGCUUAGGUCUCUCUCCUCCAUUGCAGCCAAACUAUCUUUUAGCAUUGCAAUAGUCUGAUGCAAUUGUUAAAUUUCUUCCUCCAUUGCCUCCAAUUGAGCAUGAUGGGAUGCAGUAGAAGAUGAUCUAUGUGAUGAGGCAGGUUAGAAAAAUGAUGCUUGGGAUCCAAUGCCAUAAACCUUGUUUUUCUCCUCCCCUCUCCCCCCCCCCCCCCC